GGCUGAUGGAGAAACUGAGGCAAAGGGUAGAACCCCUCUGCGCCGCAACCCUGUGAGCAAGGCGAAGUCCCAGGGUGGUGUCCUUGCCUACAAAAUCCAUCAUGGCACAUCACUGUGUCUACGUUUUGGCAUGCCCUUCCUUUUAACACACAACCUGGAAGGAGAGAGAGAGACAGCAUGAGCAGGGGAGGAGCAGAGAGAGAGG